rnacentral:misc_RNA from 1 species
AUCUUGUAAGCUUGCAAAAAAUCCUCUCUCUUUUCUCAUGGCUAAGCCCAUGUACUGUUAGAAUUCAUAAUUUUGCUGAUACUAUAUAUUAGUGUGACGGAAAUGCUCUUUCUGAAAAUUAUUUAGGCUUAAUUUCAUCAAUCUGAUUUCAGUCAACUUCUAUAUAUAUCAGUGAUUCUGUUUCAGUGAGUCACUUUCACUUCAAUAGAUUUUAGUGCAGUAUCACUGAGUUAUUUAGCUGAUAAAAGUCGACUAUUAUUGAACUGAAAUUAUUCGGCAGGGUUAGUAACUAUGUAUGAAAUAAAAUGAAGUCGAUGAAUUAUAUAAAUUCUUUGACAAUUUGUGGCCUCCAAUGUAACUAUGUAUGCUAUUUCAAAAGUAGAUGCAUUAUCCCUACUGAAAUUUUGAAUGGCAUCGAAACAGGCAAGGAAAGCUUUGAGAGCAUUG